GGGGAAGGGCUGGGCUCGGUGAUAGAUCAUCUGCUUGGUAUGCAAAAGGUCCUAGGUUCAAUCCCUGGCAUUCUCCA
rnacentral:tRNA from 1 species